rnacentral:tRNA from 1 species
GUCUGGCUAGCUCAGUUGGUAAAGCAUGGGACUCUUGAUCUCAGGAUCUUGGGUUUGAGCCCCAUGCUGGGCG